ensembl:lncRNA
AAACAGCAGUUGUUUCUUAUUGCUCACACAGGCUGGUUGGUGGUGUUCUGGCUCUUCAACUUGCUGUGAUCUGCCCCCUGUAUCUGUGGUUAAUGAAGGAAAUCUCCCCCUUGUUCUCCAGAGCAGUUUCCAUGGUAAACUUGAUAUUCUCUGGGCGGGAGCCACGGAGGGCUUUCAGCUGAUGACAGUGGAGAGAUGGUUUAUGGCUGAUGUAGUGUUGGCUGGCCAACGUAGAGUGGGAGAUUGUUCCAGAGGUUAAGCUUUAAAUCAAAGGAGUUGAGAGAAAAGGGUGAAAUGUGGAUAACCCAACGAAGGCGAGAGUGCUUUGAAGAAAUGCGGGUUGGAGUAUGGUAAUGCAAGUAGUUCUCCUAAGCCCCAGAGGAAAAUAAAACAGCCUAGUGUCUGAAUACAGAGAAAAUAGAUUUAGGGCUUCUCUGUUUAUAUGCAGUCUCUUGGAAUUGGGGGGAUUUUGCGAUGCGUGGUUCUGGUUGAUGGUCUGAAUAAUAUUUGGAUUAGUGGAGGGCUGAGACAAAUGUUACCAUAUGCUCUUGGAAGAAGAGCUAGGCAGGAUCCAGCUUCUCUUCUGACCUGCUGGAGCACCUGUGGCUGCUGUUUGGCUCUUCCCAUCAAAGCUUUCAGAUGAUGGAGGAGCGCAGGCAGCAAGGAGGUGAUGGUGCAGUGGUUGUCAAUCACAGUUUUGUGGAGGGGGAAAAGUCAUUUGAUGAUGAUUUGCUGCUUCUCUUCGUGUCGAAUUGAUGUGGCCUUUUCUUGUUGAAUUUUGUUGUCUCGCUUUGUAAUCUGUGAAGCAAAUGCAAGUGGCCCUGCUGCUGUUCUCACUGUGUGUCGCUUCUCUCCAUGCAGGCUUAAUUCAUGAGAGCCCUGCACUCUUUCCUUAAACUAAUUAUUCAUCAAAUAACUACUUCCGUAGCUUUCUGUCCCAAAGUACAAGUUUAGUAAGUGUGAUGUGGAAGGUAAUUACUUGUGUGUACGAGCAGAGAAGCCUUCUGAGCCCUGAUAAAUUACAUUCACAUUUUUCCAUGCUGGGAUUUUUCCGAUGCCCAAAUACACGUGUUGGAUAUCCUCGAAAAGAAGGGCUGGGAGGAUUCUUAAUGAACGAGGCCUCUUGUUUGUAACAUCCUGUUGGAAAUUAAACGUGUUUCCCGUAUUAAAUCCCACAGAUAUUUUAAUUAGGUCAUGUAUUCAAUUCCCGAAGAUGCUAAAUGGUCAUGCUGUAAGGAGACGAGAGGCUGGAAGGCUUGCAUGUCAGUCCUUACGAGUUUAGUUGGGUUUCUUGCAUUUGCUGUGUUGUGAUGUGUCUUUGAUACCUAUUUGGUACUUCUCCAUUUCAAAGGAGAUGCUCCCUGGUUUUCUUGUUUGGGUUUGCAGCAGAAAAUACGCGCUGUUGUGCGUUGUAAUAACAGGCUGUCUCUUAGGUAUUGCUAAUGGAGAGCUCCUGUACUUAGUCCCCCUCUUGUUACUAAUUGACUGCUUGCUCAUUCAGAGAGCGCUCU